UAAAUUCAAUUUUUGUGUUUUCAGUAUUGAACUUUUGAUGGCAUGUGGAAACAAACUGGUUUCACCAAAGUUGCAUGAGGGCCAGAAACUAAAUGGCUUCAUGAUUCACAAGAUAUUUACAUCAAAGGCAGUGUACAUUAAACCAUUACGCAUUUACGUUUGUCACCACAGAUUUAGAGGACAGUGGUGUGGGGGUUGACACGACAACAGCAUCUACUGACCACAGAAGUACCACACCAGUCAUUGUAUGACUACAAGGUCUAAGGAUACCUUAAUCCACCUGAGUGACAGAUUAUUUGCUGUUGAGACUGUUCUGAAAUAUUUGGUUUCUGCAUGCAACAAUAAAUAAGAAACAUUUGUUUGCUUGGGACAAGAUCUUUGUUAACCAGUCUAAUAGUGAUUUCCUGACCUGUCCGUAACUUGGUAAUAAAUAUCUAAAUAUUA